rnacentral:lncRNA from 1 species
UCACUUCUCACCACCGUGUGGAUCCCAGGAUCAACUGAGGCCACCAUGCUUGAAGAGAAAUCACUGCGACUUCCUGUCUGAAAUCCAGAAGGCUUCUCCUGAGGACCUGGAAGGUUGUAGUAUUGGUAAGCUGCUCUCUGGAGAGGGGAAUGGGGUUCGCACUCUGUCCAGCAAAGUCGAAAUCACGGACUUCACCUUAAAGCAGGUCCAGGACACUAGCCCAGGGAUCCCUGCAG